GUGAGUCAUCGAAUCUUUGAACGCAUAUUGCGCUCUUUGGUAUUCCGAAGAGCAUGCUUGUUUGAGUAUCAGUAAACACCUCAAAACUCUUGAUCUUUUUCAAGCGUUUUGGACUUGAGCAAACCCAACGCCUUUUCUUUUAAGAUCUGUUGCGGCGGGUUGCUUGAAAUGCAGGUGCAGCUGGACAAUCUCCUGAGCUAAAAGCAUAUUUAUUUAGUCCCGUCAAACGGAUUAUUACUUUUGCUGCAGCUAACAUAAAGGGAGUUUGACCGUAUUGGCUGACUGAUGCAGGAUUUCACA
rnacentral:misc_RNA from 1 species